CCAGGAAGCCGGCCGCCGCGCGGUGACCAGCGCCUCAGACACCCACGCGAGUCAGACCUUCCAUAGCCCGCGGCUAUGGAGACUUGGGAAACUGUCCUCUACGGUCACCCCGGAAAGUACGAGGCUUCUUCCUCAGCCAAGGGGGGGAAGCCCUCCAUCCUCGAGGACUGGGUUUGAAUUGCUUUCAUCUGGAGUGGCCGUGAUUCAGCGUCCCCCCUUAGCAGCAGGCAAUGACAGAGGCAGGGGGCAGAGAAAGAAAAGCAACAGCGAAUGAAUCAGACCUGGAAUGGCGAUGACCAGAGCAACCCUGGAAGUCCUGAGAGCCAACUGUUGACAGCGCUGCUGCCGUGCCGAUCUUCAGCAACUGUCCAGGCAAGCGCGGCCUGCCAAACUGGAACUCUUCCCUGAGACUGUUUCCUGGGGGACAAAUAAACUGUUAUUCCUUGA